UACGUAGGGGGCAAGCGUUGUCCGGAAUCAUUGGGCGUAAAGCGCGCGUAGGCGGUCCGAUAAGUCUGCUGUGAAAGUCGGGGGCUCAACCCUCGGAUGCCGGUGGAUACUGUCGGGCUUGAGUGCGGAAGAGGCGAGUGGAAUUCCUGGUGUAGCGGUGAAAUGCGCAGAUAUCAGGAGGAACACCAAUUGCGAAGGCAGCUCGCUGGGACGUUACUGACGCUGAUGCGCGAAAGCUAGGGGAGCAAACGGG
rnacentral:rRNA from 1 species